ACUCCGUACGGGAGGCAGCAGUAGGGAAUCUUCCACAAUGGGCGCAAGCCUGAUGGAGCAACACCGCGUGAGUGAAGAAGGGUUUCGGCUCGUAAAAGCUCUGUUGUUAAAGAAGAACACGUAUGAGAGUAACUGUUCAUACGUUGACGGUAUUUAACCAGAAAGUCACGGCUAACUACGUGCCAGCAGCCGCGGUAAUACGUAGGUGGCAAGCGUUAUCCGGAUUUAUUGGGCGUAAAGAGAGUGCAGGCGGUUUUCUAAGUCUGAUGUGAAAGCCUUCGGCUUAACCGGAGAAGUGCAUCGGAAACUGGAUAACUUGAGUGCAGAAGAGGGUAGUGGAACUCCAUGUGUAGCGGUGGAAUGCGUAGAUAUAUGGAAGAACACCAGUGGCGAACGGCGGCUACCUGGUCUGCAACUGACGCUGAGACUCGAAAGCAUGGGUAGCGAACAGGAUUAGAUACCCUGGUAGGAUAGCG
rnacentral:rRNA from 1 species